GAUGAACGCUGGCGGCGUGCCUAACACAUGCAAGUCGAGCGAAGCACUUUGCUUAGAUUCUUCGGAUGAAGAGGAUUGUGACUGAGCGGCGGACGGGUGAGUAACGCGUGGGUAACCUGCCUCAUACAGGGGGAUAACAGUUAGAAAUGACUGCUAAUACCGCAUAAGACCACAGCACCGCAUGGUGCGGGGGUAAAAACUCCGGUGGUAUGAGAUGGACCCGCGUCUGAUUAGCUAGUUGGUAAGGUAACGGCUUACCAAGGCGACGAUCAGUAGCCGACCUGAGAGGGUGACCGGCCACAUUGGGACUGAGACACGGCCCAAACUCCUACGGGAGGCAGCAGUGGGGAAUAUUGCACAAUGGGGGAAACCCUGAUGCAGCGACGCCGCGUGAGCGAAGAAGUAUUUCGGUAUGUAAAGCUCUAUCAGCAGGGAAGAAAAUGACGGUACCUGACUAAGAAGCACCGGCUAAAUACGUGCCAGCAGCCGCGGUAAUACGUAUGGUGCAAGCGUUAUCCGGAUUUACUGGGUGUAAAGGGAGCGUAGACGGAUGGGCAAGUCUGAUGUGAAAACCCGGGGCUCAACCCCGGGACUGCAUUGGAAACUGUUCAUCUAGAGUGCUGGAGAGGUAAGUGGAAUUCCUAGUGUAGCGGUGAAAUGCGUAGAUAUUAGGAGGAACACCAGUGGCGAAGGCGGC
rnacentral:rRNA from 1 species